UGAACCGGGGAGACGGAGGUUGCAGUGAGCUGAGAUCAUUUCACUGCACUCCAGCUUGGGCAACAGAGUGAGACUCUGUCUCAAAAAAAAUUAAAAUUAAAAUUAAAUUUUGAAUCUUUUUUUUUUUUUGAGACAGAGUCUCACUCUGUCACCCAGGCUGGAGUGCAAUGAUGUGAUCUCUGCUCACUAUAACUUCUGCUUCCCAGGUUCA
rnacentral:pre_miRNA from 1 species